rnacentral:rRNA from 1 species
AUACGGCGGAUCCGAGCGUUAUCCGGAUUUAUUGGGUUUAAAGGGUGCGCAGGCGGCCCUUUAAGUCAGCGGUUAAAUCGUGGGGCUCAACCCCAUUCUGCCGUUGAUACUGGGUGGCUUGAUUGCGGUCGAGGUUGGCGGAAUUCGUUGUGUAGCGGUGAAAUGCAUAGAUAUGACGAAGAACACCGAUUGCGUAGGCAGCAGACCGAACCGCAAAUGACGCUCAUGCACGAAAGUGCGGGGAUCGAACAGGAUUAGAUACGCUGGUAGUCCGCACAGUAAACGAUGAAUACUUGGUUUCGGCGAUAUAAUGUCGGAGGCAAAGCGAAAGCGAUAAGUAUGCCGCCUGGGGGGUACGCCGGCAACGGUGAAACUCAAAUGAAUUGACGGGG